GACGAACGCUGGCGGCGUGCCUAAUACAUGCAAGUCGAACGCUGAAGGAGGAGCUUGCUUCUCUGGAUGAGUUGCGAACGGGUGAGUAACGCGUAGGUAACCUGCCUGGUAGCGGGGGAUAACUAUUGGAAACGAUAGCUAAUACCGCAUAAGAGUAGAUGUUGCAUGACAUUUGCUUAAAAGGUGCAAUUGCAUCACUACCAGAUGGACCUGCGUUGUAUUAGUUAGUUGGUGGGGUAACGGCUCACCAAGGCGACGAUACAUAGCCGACCUGAGAGGGGGAUCGGCCACACUGGGACUGAGACACGGCCCAGACUCCUACGGGAGGCAGCAGUAGGGAAUCUUCGGCAAUGGACGGAAGUCUGACCGAGCAACGCCGCGUGAGUGAAGAAGGGUUUCGGAUCGUAAAGCUCUGUUGUAAGAGAAGAACGAGUGUGAGAGUGGAAAGUUCACACUGUGACGGUAGCUUACCAGAAAGGGACGGCUAACUACGUG
rnacentral:rRNA from 1 species